rnacentral:rRNA from 1 species
UACGUAGGGCGCAAGCGUUAUCCGGAAUUAUUGGGCGUAAAGAGCUCGUAGGCGGUUUGUCGCGUCUGCCGUGAAAGUCCGGGGCUCAACUCCGGAUCUGCGGUGGGUACGGGCAGACUAGAGUGAUGUACGGGAGACUGGAAUUCCUGGUGUAGCGGUGAAAUGCGCAGAUAUCAGGAGGAACACCGAUGGCGAAGGCAGGUCUCUGGGCAUUAACUGACGCUGAGGAGCGAAAGCAUGGGGAGCGAACAGG